CGAUAUACAGCCAAGCAAUCUCUUAAUGCUGUUAAUGCACCACGCAUACAUACACCACAGCACCUUCACGGAACACCUCUUUCGCAUUCUCUCGCUCGCACCUUUCUUUGCGUUUGCUUUUCAUCGAGGUAUAAGAGCUCACUAAUGGCUGGUGGGUUCUUUUUGCAGCCUGAUUUUUCGCCGUUUGCUGAUUGUCCUUGUUAGGGAUUCGCGCAUGUGACAUACUGUGUAAACAGCUUGAUGUUUUCACAGAAUCUACGCGGCUGAUGGGCUGCACGAGUUUUCUAACGGUUUACAAGUGUUGAACGCCAUUUGUUGGGAUUGAUGUGAUAGAAUUACGGCUGCGUGUGCAGAUCAUCCUGACUGAAUUAAUUGACGACCAGAUUUAUCCCUGGAGACGGCAUCUUGAGCGGGUUGAAGAUGUUUGCGCUGAUGUAAGAGCGAUUUCUCCGUAUUAAAUGGAUGCGGUUCUGCGUGGUCUCGUUAAGGUAUCGUCUCUCCCAACAUCCGCUGAUCACCGCGUGAAUUCCCUCCCCUAACGGCCGGCAGACAAUGCAGUUGCCGUCACCCACGACGGCUGGUUCAUCCCAUUCGGUUGACGCACGUCACACAAUGGCCCAGUUAGUAAAUCCGUCCAGUGCGGCCAGUCGACGUGAACAAGAGACGACGGAGGAAGGAGCGCCACGCAGUCCCCGUGCGCCGGCGUCCGGCUCGUCGAGCGGAGCUCAUUGGAUGCAGGUGUACGCGGAGAACAGUCCGGCGUACGAGGGACGCUUGGCCGAAUAUGAGGUGGCCAGUGAGCUGGGGGAUGGAGUGUACGGGACGGUGUUCCUGGCGCGGCAUAAAGCUACACAGCAAACCGUGGCGAUAAAACGAAUGAAGAGCAUGUAUGCUUCAUGGAAGGAAGUACUAAAAGAAAUGGAAAUAACGAUCGCCGGUGAGUUGCAACGUCAUCCUAACAUCGUCCACAUGCUGGAAGCCUUUCGUGACAACCAGUCACAGCAGCUGUUCAUGGUCUUCGAGCAUAUGGACUGCAAUCUGUAUCAGCUCAUUAAAGACCGCUCAACCUCAGCACUGCCGGAGCACGCGUCAUCCGGACAUUUGUCCACGUUUGCCGGGAUGAGUCAGCGGUCGCAGGAUACGGUGUCGAAAGGGUUUUCCGAAAAGGAAAUCCGGGCGAUUGCUCAGCAGAUCCUGCGCGGACUGCAGUAUCUUCAUGAGAAAGGGUACUUUCAUCGGGAUCUGAAACCAGAGAAUAUUCUAUGCAAAGACGGAACCCAUGUGAUUAAGCUGGCCGAUUUCGGACAGGCUCGGUCGAUACGCUCGCGGCCGCCCUACUCGGAAUACGUCUCAACUCGCUGGUAUCGCGCUCCCGAAUUGGUCCUGUCAUCACCCAUCUACAGUCUGGGUGUGGAUAUCUGGGCCGUUGGCUGCAUCAUUGCCGAAGUAGUGAUGUUGCGCGCGCUUUUUGAUGGCAACAGCGCUGCUGACCAGCUGUUCAAGAUUGUCAAAAUUCUCGGCACUCCGUCAAAAGAGGAAUGGCCACAGGGUAUGCAGAUGGCCGAGAAGAUCAACAUCGCGUUUCCCCAAGGAUUCCAAAAACAGAACCUGGCGCAGCUCAUCAAACCCUGCACUCCGGGUUGCAUCCAUCUGAUCGCCGCUACUCUGCGCUAUAAUCCACAGAAACGCCCAUCUGCGCGCAUGUGUUUGGAUAUGGAUUACCUUGCUCAAAGCUCAAGAACCGAUCCCCAUCGCGCCGGUUUCCCACGACCCAGCCAGCCCGGCUUAAAACGUGUACCAAUCAGCGUCGUGCACAAUGACCCACCACGUCCCGGUUACUCCCUACCGAAAUCCAUUUCCAGUAACGAGGGCUGGAACUUUGGAGCGGAAAGGUCAAAUGGAGAAGCUAUGCCGCCAUUACUUUUGCCGUUACUUAAACCGUUCCAAGCACCGGGUACCGAACUAGUCCGCGCCCCGAUUUUCGUCCCACCGGCUGUGGAACCAUCCCCUUCGGGUUCUCCACUGAAGUCGGGAGGCCUUGGGCCGCAAUUGCCCAUGAUGGCGCCGCAAAAACGUACCAGUCUAGACUCCGGGUCGCGGGUAGAAGUGGUCGAAGAGAAAACCGGUUUAAAGCGCGCUAACGCAUUUGACAGCGGACCGACGUCGGGGCAAUCCGCGUCGGCGAGCGAAUAUGGCAGUGUUGCGCAGGGAAGCGAUCUGGACGCGUACGACCAUUUUGAAUUAGAACUGGGGUUUGGUCUGUCCAGUGUAGCCAGUUCCCGGGACUCGGCGAACUCAACCCGGAGAUUGUCGCUGAACAUUCCGCAUUUCACCCCACCGGAUGCGGCACGCGCCCCGUUUCUGGACCGAUACAAGCCCCGAAUGGAGAUGGGUCCGCGCCCGCGAUUGACUCCGAUCCCGCCGCGGUUGCCGGUACCGGCGACCCGCCCCAGGAACCCGGUGCGUGAUCCGCCGACGGUCUCAGCGAAUUUGGCAAAGCAGCGCAGUUCCACCAAUCAGCGAGCAACCGGUAUGCGCAGCAGUGUAACACGAUCCCCGAGUCAACCGAACUGGAUCAGCGACGAAUCGAGACCCGCGGUGGCGCCACCGGCACUCGUUCGUAAAGGUUCGGAUACCGCGAUCCCCCGGCCGAAGAUGCUGACCCGCCGGGAGACGUUCUCCAGCGGUGCGACGACCUCGGCGGCGUUCGUGGCGCCGGUCCCAGACCGAACUGGACCGACGGGAGUUCGGCCGCGGUUGCGACUAGCGCCGCCGAGUGCGGGUAUUCCGCAACUGCCUGGCCAGAGUGGGAGCCGCAGCGUUAAUGGAAGUACCCGCAUGCCGAGUGAAGCGACGACAGCCGUGAACGAGCCGAAGAAGACUGGACAACGUCGCAGUCCGGUUACCAAACAAUCACCGAACAAUACAUGGUGGAGCUAAACUAUGGUUUUUUCCCCGAGUUUUUCAAUUUUGUACAGCUUAUGCUUUCCCCCAACCCGUGAUGUUAAUAGUGCGAUCCGCCCACGACCGAAAGGAUGCCUAUAAUAAACAUUCUUCGCCACACCGCACUGAACGAACUGAUUCGGAGAAGUUUGGUCACCGCUAAAACGCCGGCUGUACUAGAGCCGCUUGGAACAAGUGACGAAGACGAUCGCCGUCCGGACGGUGUGUCGCAAAUGCCUUGGAAGAACGGUUUACGGCUAGCCUGGGACGUGACGUGUGUGGAUACCGUCGCAUUUUCAAACGUCAUUAGCAGCAGCGUUAAGGCUGGAGAAGCGGCCCGAAAAGCAGAAGACGAAAAGCGGCGGAAAUAUGAAUAUUUAGCACCUGAGUACUAUUUUGUUGCAUUGGCUUUUGAAACUUUUGGCGUCGCUAGCCCUUCCUGUAUUAAGUUUUGCGAGAAUUGGGCAGGCGGUUAAAGGAUGCUACGGGAGAACGACGCUCUUACGAGUUUCUGCUACAGCGUAUUAGCAUUGAAAUACAGCGGUGGAAUGCGCUGUCUGUGACUUCAACCGUACCGCGUUCUGAUGGUUUUAACGCUGUUUACUUUGUUUUAUAAUGUUGAUGUUCAAACGUCUGAACGAUAAGCAAACCAAUAAA